rnacentral:rRNA from 1 species
GAUUCUGGCUCAGGAUGAACGCUAGCGACAGGCUUAACACAUGCAAGUCGAGGGGCAGCAUAAAAGUAGCAAUACUUGGUGGCGACCGGCGCACGGGUGAGUAACGCGUAUGCAACCUACCUAUCAGAGGGGAAUAACCCGGCGAAAGUCGGACUAAUACCGCAUAAAACAGGGGCACCGCAUGGUGAUAUUUGUUAAAGAAAUUCGCUGAUAGAUGGGCAUGCGUUCCAUUAGGUAGUUGGUGAGGUAACGGCUCACCAAGCCGACGAUGGAUAGGGGAACUGAGAGGUUGGUCCCCCACACUGGUACUGAGACACGGACCAGACUCCUACGGGAGGCAGCAGUGAGGAAUAUUGGUCAAUGGGCGGGAGCCUGAACCAGCCAAGUCGCGUGAAGGAAGAAGGAUCUAUGGUUCGUAAACUUCUUUUGCAGGGGAAUAAAGUGCAGGACGUGUCCUGUUUUGUAUGUACCCUGAGAAUAAGGAUCGGCUAACUCCGUGCCAGCCGCCGC